rnacentral:lncRNA from 1 species
UGACGGUUAAGAUAAAAAAUGCUAACAUAAGUUGUGUAUAAUGACUGUACUUGUAAUUCCUAUGAAUAUAAUAAAUUAUGCAUGUAAAAAUAUUAUGGGAUUAUUUGUUUACGUGAACCCAACUAAAUAAACACAUUAAGGAUCUGUUUGGAUGGUUAGACCUAAAAUCCUAUGAGAUUCAUGACCCAAUCAUAAAAAAAUAUUGA